rnacentral:lncRNA from 1 species
UCGUAGUGGAAGAGGCUCAAGUGGAGGCUCGAUUUGGUCUGCUCGGAUAUAGUGCUAAUCUUGAUGCAAGAUAGUUGCACAGUUUGCAUGGAACGUACCAUAUGUUAAUAAAUCAAUUUGGACGCACCCAAUGGAACUCCUAGAUGAUGUGUGUCAUAUGGAAUCUCGCUUCGGUCUAUUUGGAGACAAUGUUAGUUUCAGUGCAAGAUAGGUGCAUAGUUUGUGCCUAAUGCACCAUAGUCUAAGAAACCAUUUUUGACGCACGUGUUUCUACUCCUAGAUGAAGAGGCUCAAGUGGAAGCUCGUUUCGGUCUAUUUGGAGACAGUGCUAGUCUUGAUGCAAGAUAGGUGCACGGUUUGCAUGGAACAUACCAUAUGCUUGGAAAUCAAUUUGGAUGCACCUGAUGGGACUCCUUGAUGACGUGUGUCAUAUGGAAUCUCGCUUUGGUCUAUUUAGAAACAGUGUUAGUUUCGGUGCA